UACGUAGGGUGCGAGCGUUAAUCGGAAUUACUGGGCGUAAAGCGUGCGCAGGCGGUGAUGUAAGACCGAUGUGAAAUCCCCGGGCUUAACCUGGGAAUUGCGUUGGAGACUGCAAGGCUGGAGUCUGGCAGAGGGGGGUAGAAUUCCACGUGUAGCAGUGAAAUGCGUAGAGAUGUGGAGGAACACCGAUGGCGAAGGCAGCCCCCUGGGUCAAGACUGACGCUCAUGCACGAAAGCGUGGGGAGCAAACAGG
rnacentral:rRNA from 1 species